GAUGAACGCUGGCGGCGUGCCUAAUACAUGCAAGUCGAGCGAAUGGAUUAAGAGCUUGCUCUUAUGAAGUUAGCGGCGGACGGGUGAGUAACACGUGGGUAACCUGCCCAUAAGACUGGGAUAACUCCGGGAAACCGGGGCUAAUACCGGAUAACAUUUUGAACCGCAUGGUUCGAAAUCGAAAGGCGGCUUCGGCUGUCACUGAUGGAUGGACCCGCGUCGCAUUAGCUAGUUGGUGAGGUAACGGCUCACCAAGGCAACGAUGCGUAGCCGACCUGAGAGGGUGAUCGGCCACACUGGGACUGAGACACGGCCCAGACUCCUACGGGAGGCAGCAGUAGGAAAUCUUCCGCAAUGGACGAAAGUCUGACGGAGCAACGCCGCGUGAGUGAUGAAGGCUUUCGGGUCGUAAAACUCUGUUGUUAGGGAAGAACAAGUGCUAGUUGAAUAAGCUGGCACCUUGACAGUACCUAACCAGAAAGCCACGGCUAACUACGUGCCAGCCGCCGCAGUAA
rnacentral:rRNA from 1 species